UACGGAGGGGGCUAGCGUUGUUCGGAAUUACUGGGCGUAAAGCGCGCGUAGGCGGACCUGCAAGUCAGGGGUGAAAUCCCGAGGCUCAACCUCGGAACUGCCUUUGAUACUGGGGAUCUCGAGUCCGGGAGAGGUGAGUGGAACUGCGAGUGUAGAGGUGAAAUUCGUAGAUAUUCGCAAGAACACCAGUGGCGAAGGCGGCUCACUGGCCCGGAACUGACGCUGAGGUGCGAAAGCGUGGGGAGCAACAGG
rnacentral:rRNA from 1 species